rnacentral:rRNA from 1 species
UACGUAGGCAGCGAGCGUUGUUCGGAAUUACUGGGCGUAAGGAGUGUGUAGGCGGUGCUCUAAGUUCGGUGUGAAAUCUCCUGGCUCAACUGGGGGGGUGCGCCGGAAACUGGAGUGCUUGAGCGUGGGAGAGGAAAGCGGAAUUCCUGGUGUAGCGGUGAAAUGCGUAGAUAUCAGGAGGAACACCUGUGGUGUAGACGGCUUUCUGGACCAUAGCUGACGCUGAGACACGAAAGCGUGGGUAGCAAACAGG